CGUCCGAGCAGUAAGCUUCGAGUUGUACGGAACACACUACGAACGUCAUCAUCACGCUCCCAAGUACAGGGAAGGACCUCUCCACCUGCUAUUCCCAGGGCCUGGCUGACUGACUGUGCUAUUGCCGAAUUGCAACCUUGAACCUGACUGGGAGACACGGACGGGGCAACAGACCCGGAGAUCACUAGAGUCUGAAGACUGGAAAGAGCCUACCCCGCUCUCCUCCGGUAGCCGCGCUGUGGCGAUCGACUAUCAGGCGCAGUUAAGGGACAGUCCUCUUGCUAUGAGGAAGAAGCUCUAGAGGGCGCAGCGAGCUUGGGGCAGAAGGCAGUGCGUGGGAGCAGCGCGGUCCAAAGACGAGCUAGAAGCGAGCGAGGGCGGCGGUGGCUAUGGGUGUGACAGGACUCACAGACGUCAGAGAAGGGUGUCUCUUGGGAAGAGGCGGACUAAAGUGUGAGCGCCACUACUUGUCUGGAGCCUCGUGAGAAACUAGGACAACGCUGGUAUGAAAGAUCAAGGGUUCCAUCUUGUCAGGGAUUUGUUUUGGUGAAGAUCAGAGGUCACAGGGACUUGAAGAUCGAAGUGUCAAAAACCCGAGUCUCUCGUAUGAGACGGGUGAAGCUUUUCUAAACAUGGGGACCAUCACUAUGAAGAGACCACGGAGCGGCAGGCUUCUGCAAGGAGAAGGAGGCAACCUCUUUGAGUACUUGCUGGGUAGAGGGGUGGUGCAGGAGUGACACUAAAGGGACCUCUGCAUCGGAAGUGGCUACAGUGACCCUAGCUGGCUAGCUAUGUCCCAGAAAUGGCCUCCUCUCAUGAUCAGAUGAACCCUGUUCUGAGGACAGGCAGAAGCAGGAUGCCAUUCGGAGGGAUAAGGGGAUUCCAGGUCACGUAGGAGUUCCACAGUGCACCCACUGCCUCAUCACCUUCACCGAUGCCAAGUUCCUGGAGCAUCACAUGACGAAAGAGCACCUGGAAGACUUUACAAUUCAUAAGCAGGAGGCCUUCUUCAUUCU